AGAAAGAAGACGAUUCAAGACUUGAUCGCCUAUCUUGUACCUUAAUGUAAUGUUUGCUUUUGAAAUAAAAUAAAACUUUCUUCCACUCCUUGCAUUUCUUUUAUGUGUUGUGGAUGUCUGUUUUGCUUCUUCAGUAACAUAGGCCAAACAACUUUUCAAUGUUCACCCUAUGCCGAUUUUUGGACUUAUGCCAUGGCAUUAUGUCCCCUAGUCACAUUGGAGAUCGUGCCUUGUGCUAUCUCCAGCUAUUUGCUUUGCUUCCUAUGAAUUUGGGGCUAUGUUAUCUGAGAACCUUGAGGAGCAUUUAUUGCUUUGCCAUUCGGUGCAUCUUCCUCUCUGGAAGAUUGCACAAUUCUUUAAUGCUGCAGUGCUCGAAAUGGUAUUUGACUGAAAGGGACACAUGGAGUGCCUUUUUCUGAAAGGUGCAGUCUUCUGGAGCCACUGGGGUGGUGACACCUGGUGCCUUAUUUGGGAAACAAAGGGGUGCUUUUCAUAUGAAUCUUCCAUAAAUAGGAGAAAGGAGCUCUUGCUUGCAGUCAAUUUUUUUUCCAAAUGUCGCUACUACGAUCUUCCCAUG
rnacentral:lncRNA from 1 species